rnacentral:rRNA from 1 species
UACGUAGGGUCCGAGCGUUGUUCGGAAUUACUGGGCGUAAAGGGCGCGUAGGCGGCGUGUCAAGUCAGGCGUGAAAGCCCCGGGCUCAACCUGGGAACCGCGCUUGAGACUGGCAUGCUCGAGUUCGGGAGAGGAUGGUGGAAUUCCCAGUGUAGAGGUGAAAUUCGUAGAUAUUGGGAAGAACACCGAUGGCGAAGGCAGCCAUCUGGACCGACACUGACGCUGAGGCGCGAAAGCGUGGGGAGCAAACAGG